rnacentral:rRNA from 1 species
AGGACCUUAUCAUAUUUAGGAGGUAGUUCUUUCAACAACGGAUCUCUGGGUUCCAGCAUCGAUGAAGAACGCAGCGAAAUGCGAUAAGUAAUGUGAAUUGCAGAAUUCCGUGAAUCAUCGAAUCUUUGAACGCACAUUGCGCCCUCUGGUAUUCCGGGGGGCAUGCCUGUCCGAGCGUCAUUUGCAACCCUCAAGCCCGGCUUGUGUGAUGGGUGCCGUCCCUUACGGGACGCGCCCCGAAGGCAAUGGCGGCGUCGCGGUUAUCCGAUCAGCCAAAGUGUAUGGGGCUUUGUCACUCACUUUACGGCCCGGACCGGCGCCAGUCCGAAUCAAUUUUAUUUCUAAAGUUGACCUCGGAUCAGGUAGGGAUACCCGCUGAACUUAA